UGCGUGGCCUCUGACUGACCGGUGUAUGUCGCCCCCUGCUGUCUUGGCGACCUGCUAGCUAGACCACUAUGUGCUACAGGCCUAGCUCGUGUCUAGCUGCGGCCAAGGCCUCCAUGCUGGUAGUGCAGAGGUCCCAGGAGCCCAUCAGCGCCACCCUACAGGCUACCCAUCUUUACUGCACCCUGCAGCUGACCCUUAGUGGCCUACUGGACUGCUACACACACACCCUCACAGAUGAAUUUGUGCAGUCGGUCCAGAGCAUGGUUGGCCAGGUGUGUCAUGGGGAGUGGAGAUAGUGGCCACAGGGGUGGCAGGUCUCCUGCAAGGUUCAGAACAGGUUGGUGAGUGCGCCCCCGUGUGGCUGAGACAAAGCUGUACGGGGCUAUAUGACAGUGGCCGUCCCGCGGGUUUGUUUCUCUACCUGUGUCACGGGGCCCUGGCUAUGCUGAACUGGAGAAUCUUCUUUCUCAUGGUCUGAGAGCCCUUUAGGUGCCUUUUGGCAAAUUCCAAGUGGGCUGUCAUGUGCCUUUUACUGAGGAGUGGCUUCCGUCUGGCCACUCUACCAUAAAGGCCUGAUUGGUGGAGUGCUGCAGAGAUGGUUGUCCUUUUGGAAGGUUCUCCCAUGUCAACAGAGGCACUCUGGAGUUCUGUCAGAGUGACCAUCAGGUUCUUGGUCACCUCCCUGACCAAGUCCCCUCUCACCUGAUUGCUCAGUUUGGCCGGGCGCCAGCUCUAGGAAGAGCCUUGGUUGUUCCAAACUUCUUCCAUUUAAGAAUGAUGGUGGCCACUGUGUUCUUGGGGACCUUCAAUGUGGCAAAUGUUUUGGUACCUUUCCCAGAUCUGUGCCUCAACACAAUCCUGUCUCUGAGCUCUACGGACAAGUCCUUUGACCUCAUUUUUUUGUUUUUGCUCUGACAUGCACUGUCAACUGUGGGACCUUAUAUAGACAGGUGUGUGCCUUUCCAAAUCAUGUCCAAUUAAAUGAAUUUACCACAGGUGGACUCCAAUCAAGUUGUAGAAACAUCUAAAAGAUGAUCAAUGGAAACAGGAUGCACCUGAGCUCAAUUUCGAGUAGCAAAGGGUCUGAAUACUUAUGUACAUUUCUGUUUCUUAUUUUUUAUAAAUGUGAGAAAAAAAAAUGGCUUUGUCAUUAUGGGGUAUUGUGUGUAGAUUGAUGAAAUUUUUUUAUUUGAUCCAUUUUAGAAUAAAGCUGUAACGUAGCUAAAUGUGGAAAAGGGGAAGUGGUCUGAAUAUUUUCCAAAUGCACUGUAUACAAAAGUAUGUGGACACCCCUUCGAAUGAGUGGAUUCGGCUAUUUCAACCACACCCGUUGCUGACAGGUGUAUAUUAUCGAGCACACAGCCAUGUAAUCGCCAUAGACAAACAUUGGCAGUAGAAUGGCCUUACUGAAGAGCUCAGUGACUUUCAACAUAGCACCGUCAUAGGAUGCCACCUUUCCAACAAGCUACCCCGGUCAACUGUUAAGUGCUGUUAUUGUGAAGUGGAAACAUCUAGGAGCAACAAUGGCUCCGCUGGGAAGUGGUAGGCCACACAA
ensembl:lncRNA